rnacentral:rRNA from 1 species
GACGAACGCUGGCGGCGUGCUUAACACAUGCAAGUCGAACGGAAAGGCCCUGCUUGCCGGGUACUCGAGUGGCGAACGGGUGAGUAACACGUGGGUGAUCUGCCCUGCACUUCGGGAUAAGCCUGGGAAACUGGGUCUAAUACCGGAUAGGAGCCAUUUUUAGUGUGAUGGUUGGAAAGUUUUUUCGGUGUAGGAUGAGCUUGCGGCCUAUCAGCUUGUUGGUGGGGUAAUGGCCUACCAAGGCGGCGACGGGUAGCCGGCCUGAGAGGGUGGACGGCCACAUUGGGACUGAGAUACGGCCCAGACUCCUACGGGAGGCAGCAGUGGGGAAUAUUGCACAAUGGGCGCAAGCCUGAUGCAGCGACGCCGCGUGGGGGAGGACGGCCUUCGGGUUGUAAACUCCUUUCGCUAGGGACGAAGCUUUUUGUGACGGUACCUAGAUAAGAAGCACCGGCUAACUACGUG